rnacentral:rRNA from 1 species
AGCGGGGAAGGCUUAGGGUCUUGGCUCCUGCCCUGGCCGCGUUGUGGAGUCGACGGCCUUCGUGAGCUGUAAAGCACUGUUUGUCAGAGGAGGACGCUCUACUUGAUUAAUACCCAUGGACCUUGACGGUACCUCGCAGAAAGCCCCCGCUAACUUCGUGCCCCAGCCGCGGUAAUAA